ACCUCCCAUAAAUGACAUAUAAAACCGGCCAUUUUGGUGGGUCAGCCUUUUUCUAAGGUUAGAUUGGAGGGGCAGCACGUGGCUUGGUUACGAGGCUGUCAGAACAAUCCACAAGGUGAGUCUGGUUUUCUUUCAUGUACUUUGUUUUCCUAUGAUGUUUUGCACUGGGCUCUGAAUUUCUGUGGCGAUAAAGUGCUCUAUGGCUCUGACAGGCCAAAGUCUGAGGUUAAUGUUAGUCUGAGUCUUAUCUUGUAGAUUUGAAUGUUCAUUGAUUAUUGUCCUAAUGAAACUUAUUUUCCCCAAAGGUGACAAGGCUAAGUCGAUACCAAACUACAAGGUGUGCUUUAAGUACUAAUGACUAGCAAAUUGAAUCCUUGUUUAAAUGUCUUUCUCUUGUGAUGUUUUGCACUGGGCUCUGAAUAUCUGUGGCGAUAAGGUGCUCUCUGGCUCUGACAGGCCUGAGUCUGAGGAGACAGAUAAUAAUUAAUCCCAUAGGAUCCUUGUAGUUUGGGAUGUAAUUAUUUUCAAAUGGUUUUCUAUCACUUUUUUCAUGCAGAUCUUGGACCUCCACAGAAGAUGAGUGGUGACUGCAGUCUGUUAACAUGGGGUGAGAUCUUCAAUGGAUAACUUAGAGGCCUGUGUUUUGCACGAGGUGCUGUUUUACCUGCAUUUCCAGCAUUAUCCAGCUGGUGUCACUUCAGUCCCUUUAUUUGUUUCAAUCAACCAGCUCACCAAUUUAUCAAAGCAAUAAGGAUUAUUUCCCCAACAUGACCAAGAUUGCGAAACAAUAUCCCUUUUGUUAAUAAUUCUGUAGAUGUGGGAAGAAUUGUUAAUACAAGGGCUGACUCAUCAAUGGAAAUGUGCUGACCUAAGUGAGAUUCUUUUUUAUGUUCCCUAUUAUGUAAGUCUGAAACAUUAAAAUAUUUUGAUCAGA